CAGUAAGUUACACCCACAUACCUGCCAGAGCACUGAACUGGAUGUGUGGAGAUGAAUACAUCUUGCAGAGGCAUGGGCUGGCUGAAGAGCCAGGCUCCCUGCAUCCCGCACGGAUAUGGCUCAUUGGUACCCUGCUCGUCCCUGCCAGCCCAGGAUGUGGAAAGAGACAUGGGAGAAACCCUCCUGACUCCCUGUUCCCUAUCCUACCUCUGACCCAGGAUACACAGAACCACUGCCCUCUGCUCCUUCCCACUGUUCUGGGAGCUCUCUCCUCUGCGAGGCUUUCCUGGAACCUGAUUGGCGAAGACCGUUUCUCCUGAGCUCUUUUCUCUGAGACAUCACCAUAGAUGGCUAUGAGUCAAGUGCCCCCAUCAACCAUUCCUGCUCUGCCUGGGGGCUUGGAGUCCCUUCUGAUGGACGAAUGGGUAUUGACUCAACUGGCUUUGUAUGCUGGGCACCACUUUGCAAACAGCUUACAGGAUGGACUGCAGUCCUCACAACGAUCUUCAAAGCACGCUCGGAGUUGUGGCCCUACGGGGACCCGGUGAAUUCAGCUGCCUGUAUGAGGUGAUGUUGUUUUGCCUUAAAUGGUCCCCUAGCCUCUCCCAAAGACCCCUCCUUACUCUUCCCAAGAAUGUCCCAAUUCCUUUCCCACUUGUGCCACUCAUUUUCAAGAGAGGAGAUGGCCCAGCCCUCUUCUCUUCCCCACCUCCCUCCCCCAAACUGUGUGACCCUCAGCACCCAGGGCUCAGGGGGCUGCCAGAGAUGGAGAGGAGGCAAACCCAAGCCAGC
rnacentral:lncRNA from 1 species